AUGGAGGAACACAUGUAUCAGCUUCAGAUGUCCCUGGCGGCGCUUCUUAACAAAUUUUAUGCCAUGGAACUGAAGAUGGACAACUUGGGAAAGCAACUCGUCUCCAUGCACGAGAGCAUGGACAAGAUUCGCGAGAAGCAAGCCACGCUCAGCGCGGAGCCGACCACUUCCUCAGUGAUGCAGGAUCCUGCGUUGUCCUCGACUACACGGUCACCUGCACGUCUCGUCAACCAGCGGCCGCCGUUGUUGGAGGAACCCGAUCUGCCACCUGGCGUGGGGUUCGUCACGGCGCCUGCCUUACUAGCAGAACGAGUUGUUCAUGAGCAGGUUCAGCCACCUGAACGAGUCGUUGUUCUGACGAGACACUAG
rnacentral:rRNA from 1 species